rnacentral:rRNA from 1 species
AUUGAACGCUGGCGGCAUGCCUUACACAUGCAAGUCGAACGGCAGCACGGGUGCUUGCACCUGGUGGCGAGUGGCGAACGGGUGAGUAAUACAUCGGAACAUGUCCUGUAGUGGGGGAUAGCCCGGCGAAAGCCGGAUUAAUACCGCAUACGAUCUACGGAUGAAAGCGGGGGACCUUCGGGCCUCGCGCUAUAGGGUUGGCCGAUGGCUGAUUAGCUAGUUGGUGGGGUAAAGGCCUACCAAGGCGACGAUCAGUAGCUGGUCUGAAAGGACGACCAGCCACACUGGGACUGAGACACGGCCCAGACUCCUACGGGAGGCAGCAGUGGGGAAUUUUGGACAAUGGGCGAAAGCCUGAUCCAGCAAUGCCGCGUGUGUGAAGAAGGCCUUCGGGUUGUAAAGCACUUUUGUCCGGAAAGAAAUCCUUGGCCCUAAUACGGUCGGGGGAUGACGGUACCGGAAGAAUAAGCACCGGCUAACUACGUG